rnacentral:rRNA from 1 species
GCCUGACGGAGCAACGCCGCGUGAGGGAUGAAGGCCUCUGGGCUGUAAACCUCUUUUAUCAAGGAAGAAGAUCUGACGGUACUUGAUGAAUAAGCCACGAGCUAAUUCCGUGCCAGCAGCCGCGGUAAUACGGGAGUGGCAAGCGUUAUCCGGAAUUAUUGGGCGUAAAGCGUCCGCAGGCGGUUUUACAAGUCUGUCGUUAAAACGUGGAGCUCAACUCCAUUUCRGCGAUGGAAACUGUAAGACUAGAGUGUGGUAGGGGCAGAGGGAAUUCCCGGUGUAGCGGUGAAAUGCGUAGAURUCGGGAAGAACACCAGUGGCGAAGGCGCUCUGCUGGGCCAUAACUGACGCUCAUGGACGAAAGCCAGGGGAGCGAAAGGGAUUAGAUACCCCUGUAGUCCUGGCCGUAAACGAUGAACACUAGGUGUCGGGGGAAUCGACCCCCUCGGUGUCGUAGCCAACGCGUUAAGUGUUCCGCCUGGGGAGUACGCACGCAAGUGUGAAACUCAAAGGAAUU